rnacentral:rRNA from 1 species
AUGCCACGUGCUGAUGGUCCCUUUAAGGUGUUAGAGAAAAUAAAUGAUAAUGCAUAUAAACUUGAGCUGCCUGCAGAUUUUGGGGUUAGUCCCACUUUUAACAUUGCAGAUUUGAAGCCUUAUUUGGGUGAGGAAGAUAAACUUCCGUCGAGGACGACUUCAUUUCAAGAAGGGGAGGAUGAUGAGGACAUCAAUACAAUUGUUACACCCACAGCCCCUGCUGCUAUACAUACUGGACCAAUUACUAGAGCUCGUGCACGCCAACUAAAUUACCAGGUACUUUCGUUUCUUGGUAAUGAUUUUAAUGUUCAUGAGAAUAUGAUGCUGCCUAAAUUGGAUACAUUUGUUUUGCUUACAAAUGAAGGGCCUAGCUUGGAGAAGGAUGAACAUUGGAGU